UCCUGUUCUCGGCCGAGGCCUUUUGCUGGCCCCAACCCGCUCUGGCCGGUGCCUACCCCAGCCCCCCAGCCCGCGGGAAGCCCUUCCUCAACUCCGGAGGCUUCAUUGGCUUCGCCCCCGCCAUCUGGCGCCUGGUCGAGAGGUGGCGCUAUCGCGACGACGACGACGACCAGCUCUUCUAUACCCGCCUGUACCUGCAACCCCAGCUGCGGGAAGAGCUGGGGCUGGCCCUGGAUCAUCAUUCCCGCAUCUUCCAGAACCUCAAUGGAGCCAUAGACGAGGUCGUGGUCAAGUUCGAGCCGGGGCGCGUGCGGGUCCGCAACGUGGCCACCGAUUCCCUGCCCGUUGUGAUCCAUGGCAACGGCCCCACCAAGGUGAGG